AGUGAACGCUGGCGGUAGGCCUAACACAUGCAAGUCGAACGGCAGCACAGUAAGAGCUUGCUCUUACGGGUGGCGAGUGGCGGACGGGUGAGGAAUACAUCGGAAUCUACUUUUUCGUGGGGGAUAACGUAGGGAAACUUACGCUAAUACCGCAUACGACCUACGGGUGAAAGCAGGGGAUCUUCGGACCUUGCGCGAUUGAAUGAGCCGAUGUCGGAUUAGCUAGUUGGCGGGGUAAAGGCCCACCAAGGCGACGAUCCGUAGCUGGUCUGAGAGGAUGAUCAGCCACACUGGAACAGAGACACGGUCCAGACUCCUACGGGAGGCAGCAGUGGGGAAUAUUGGACAAUGGGCGCAAGCCUGAUCCAGCCAUACCGCGUGGGUGAAGAAGGCCUUCGGGUUGUAAAGCCCUUUUGUUGGGAAAGAAAAGCAGCAGGUUAAUACCCCGCUGUUCUGACGGUACCCAAAGAAUAAGCACCGGCUAACUUCGUG
rnacentral:rRNA from 1 species